AUUGAACUUUGGCGGCAGGCUUAACACAUGCAAGUCGAACGAUGAAACUCUAGCUUGCUAGAGAAGAUUAGUGGCGGACGGGUGAGUAACAUUUAGGAAUCUGCCUAGUAGUGGGGGAUAGCUCGGGGAAACUCGAAUUAAUACCGCAUACGACCUACGGGUGAAAGGGGGCGCAAGCUCUUGCUAUUAGAUGAGCCUAAAUCAGAUUAGCUAGUUGGUGGGGUAAAGGCCCACCAAGGCGACCAUCUGUAACUGGUCUGAGAGGAUGAUCAGUCACACCGGAACUGAGACACGGUCCGGACUCCUACGGGAGGCAGCAGUGGGGAAUAUUGGACAAUGGGGGCAACCCUGAUCCAGCCAUGCCGCGUGUGUGAAGAAGGCCUUUUGGUUGUAAAGCACUUUAAGCAGGGAGGAGAGGCUAAUGGUUAAUACCCAUUAGAUUAGACGUUACCUGCAGAAUAAGCACCGGCUAACUCUGUGCCAGCAGCCGCGGUAAUACAGAGGGUGCGAGCGUUAAUCGGAAUUACUGGGCGUAAAGCGAGUGUAGGUGGCUCAUUAAGUCACAUGUGAAAUCCCCGGGCUUAACCUGGGAACUGCAUGUGAUACUGGUGGUGCUAGAAUAUGUGAGAGGGAAGUAGAAUUCCAGGUGUAGCGGUGAAAUGCGUAGAGAUCUGGAGGAAUACCGAUGGCGAAGGCAGCUUCCUGGCAUAAUAUUGACACUGAGAUUCGAAAGCGUGGGUAGCAAACAGGAUCAGAUACCCUGGUAGUCCACGCCGUAAACGAUGUCUACUAGCCGUUGGGGUCCUUGAGACUUUAGUGGCGCAGUUAACGCGAUAAGUAGACCGCCUGGGGAGUACGGCCGCAAGGUUAAAACUCAAAUGAAUUGACGGGGGCCCGCACAAGCGGUGGAGCAUGUGGUUUAAUUCGAUGCAACGCGAAGAACCUUACCUGGUCUUGACAUAGUGAGAAUCCUGCAGAGAUGCGGGAGUGCCUUCGGGAAUUCACAUACAGGUGCUGCAUGGCUGUCGUCAGCUCGUGUCGUGAGAUGUUGGGUUAAGUCCCGCAACGAGCGCAACCCUUCUCCUUAUUUGCCAGCGGGUUAAGCCGGGAACUUUAAGGAUACUGCCAGUGACAAACUGGAGGAAGGCGGGGACGACGUCAAGUCAUCAUGGCCCUUACGACCAGGGCUACACACGUGCUACAAUGGUAGGUACAGAGGGUUGCUACACAGCGAUGUGAUGCUAAUCUCAAAAAGCCUAUCGUAGUCCGGAUUGGAGUCUGCAACUCGACUCCAUGAAGUCGGAAUCGCUAGUAAUCGCGGAUCAGAAUGCCCCGGUGAAUACGUUCCCGGGGCU
rnacentral:rRNA from 1 species